rnacentral:lncRNA from 1 species
CAUCAACACAGUACAGAGCCGGCUCCUAGUACACUUCCCUGCCCCCACAACUCCCCACCCAAGUGCUGAGUCAUAUCUGACUGUGCAGGCAGAAUACUUUUCGCACCAGCCACAUCAAAACUUUAAAGACUCGUUUACUUUUAAGUGUACUGCACGGAUUCGUCUUCAAGCAAAAAUAUAUGAGCUACACACAGCUACAUUUUAUGACUGAUAAUAGCAGAUGUGUGGGCGUGUACAUGUUCAUAUAUAAUUUCAGCUGUUUCUCUGACAUUUUGUGCAAACAAAUCAAACGCUCACCAAAACUAGUUGAAAGUUUUAUUUUUAUAAAAUUAACAUAAAAGAUUGUUUAAAAAUCUGCAGUUAUUUACAGCAGUAUUGCACAAGUAAAGUGGCAAUUACCCUGUCAAAAUUCAUCAGUGCAAAACACAAGUAAGCCAGGGAAACUGCAAUACAAAUGCUACAUACGCUGGGUCCUAGAAAACAGGUUAGUGAUGGAUCAGUAUACAGCCAGAUCAGUGCUAUUUAUAAGUGGGUACCUGAUGAGUUCUGAUACAGUAACUAGUGGUCACAGAAUCUGGACAUAAAACAUAAGAGAGCUUCUAUAGUCUGAAAUUCCCAAAUAAAAGUAGUCAAGUUACUUAACUGGGAGCUUGAGGAUGCUUCUUACACACAAUGCUGUUUAGAGUAGACCCCAACUGAUUUAGCGUCAUCUGUAGACACGUUUCCCCCACCCCACGUGUACGUGAGUGGACACACACAGGCACCAGGCUAAAUCAGCAGGGAUGGCAGAACCACCUGCAUGGAACCACCAUGAAGUCUCCUUAAAGCUCCCAUAAGCUUUCACAUCUUGACACCCAGUCCAGUGGGGCCCCAACCUCCCCUGAAGGAGAUGGAGUAUCAGAAGGAGGGCAUCGACCUGAAGAAGCAGGCUGACCAAAUGCAGUGACCGUAUGGGUGGGGCGUGGGGAGGGCUGUACAGUUAAUUAGCUCCUGAAGACAAGUUAGUCCAACCUCAAAGCACAGGAAGUUGCACAGCAGGUGGGGGAAAACCCAGCUACUCACAGUUGUCCACAAGGGGUUAGUGGCCUGAGGUGGUCCUUAGGCAGGAGCCACCUGUCCCACCCAUUCACUUGUCCUGCCUGGCCCUAGCCCUGAACAACUGCAAUGCAGCACCUCUGGAAGUGGCACAUUUUAUUUCUUUUCUAAACGCUGAGUUGUCAGGGAUAAAUUUUCAAUAGAAAAAUCUUUCCCACCUGCUGAUAAUACUUUGGUUUUUUUGUUUUCCUAAAGAUAAAGCCUGGAGUCAGCAAAAUUUGCUUGCAUGAUAAGCUAGUUGCUUUGGAACAAACAGAAGGUUGCUGGGUAUUUCUUGGAGUAGAAUUUUGUAGCCUGCCAGACUGAGUUUCUCACUGGCAUCAAACACACACUUCAUCAUAAGGGCAGAUAUUAACUCUUGUU